GCCUACGGGAGGCAGCAGUGGGGGAUAUUGCACAAUGGGGGGAACCCUGAUGCAGCGACGCCGCGUGGGUGAAGAAGCGCCUCGGCGCGUAAAGCCCUGUCAGCAGGGAAGAAAAUGACGGUACCUGAAGAAGAAGCCCCGGCUAACUACGUGCCAGCAGCCGCGGUAAUACGUAGGGGGCAAGCGUUAUCCGGAUUUACUGGAUGUAAAGGGGGCGCAGACGGCGAUGCAAGCCAGGAGUGAAAGCCCGGAGCACAACCCCGGGACUGCUCUUGGAACUGCGUGGCUGGAGUGCAGGAGGGGCG
rnacentral:rRNA from 1 species